UGGUGGAACCUUAUAGUCUCUUCUGUAGUUGGGAUUCAGUGAGGUUGCACUUGUUCCUGUAAAAAGGAAUAGUUUCGUUCAGGAUUUGAAAUUUUCCUAAGUUCUCUGUUUGGUGACAUGUAUAAACAGAGGUAGACUAUAAGGUUCCACCAUUCUUGAUUGAAAAUAGGGAACGUAACAUCAUCUAAUUUCAACCAAAUUUAUAUAUAUUUUUUUUUU